CCUACGGGAGGCAGCAGUGGGGAAUUUUGGACAAUGGGCGCAAGCCUGAUCCAGCAAUGCCGCGUGAGUGAAGAAGGCCUUCGGGUUGUAAAGCUCUUUUGUCAGGGAAGAAACGGUGGGAGCUAAUAUCUCCUACUAAUGACGGUACCUGAAGAAUAAGCACCGGCUAACUACGUGCCAGCAGCCGCGGUAAUACGUAGGGUGCAAGCGUUAAUCGGAAUUACUGGGCGUAAAGCGUGCGCAGGCGGUUUUGUAAGUCUGUCGUGAAAGCCCCGGGCUCAACCUGGGAAUUGCGAUGGAGACUGCAAGGCUUGAAUCUGGCAGAGGGGGGUAGAAUUCCACGUGUAGCAGUGAAAUGCGUAGAGAUGUGGAGGAACACCGAUGGCGAAGGCAGCCCCCUGGGUCAAGAUUGACGCUCAUGCACGAAAGCGUGGGGAGCAAACAGGAUUAGAUACCCUGGUAGUCCACGCCCUAAACGAUGUCUACUAGUUGUCGGGUUUUAAUUAACUUGGUAACGCAGCUAACGCGUGAAGUAGACCGCCUGGGGAUACGGUCGCAAGNUUAAAACUNAAAGAUGACGNNGAGAGNGCGAGACGACGACGAGGAGAGG
rnacentral:rRNA from 1 species